GAUGAACGCUGGCGGCGUGCCUAAUACUUGCAAGUCGAGCGAACAGAUAAGGAGCUUGCUCCUUUGACGUUAGCGGCGGACGGGUGAGUAACACGUGGAUAACCUACCUAUAAGACUGGGAUAACUUCGGGAAACCGGAGCUAAUACCGGAUAACAUAUUGAACCGCAUGGUUCAAUAGUGAAAGGCGGCUUUGCUGUCACUUAUAGAUGGAUCCGCGCCGUAUUAGCUAGUUGGUAAGGUAACGGCUUACCAAGGCAACGAUACGUAGCCGACCUGAGAGGGUGAUCGGCCACACUGGAACUGAGACACGGUCCAGACUCCUACGGGAGGCAGCAGUAGGGAAUCUUCCGCAAAGGGCGAAAGCCUGACGGAGCAACGCCGCGUGAGUGAUGAAGGUCUUCGGAUCGUAAAACUCUGUUAUCAGGGAAGAACAAAUGUGUAAGUAACUGUGCACAUCUUGACGGUACCUGAUCAGAAAGCCACGGCUAACUACGUG
rnacentral:rRNA from 1 species